rnacentral:rRNA from 1 species
UGGCGACCGGCGCACGGGUGCGUAACGCGUAUGCAACCUACCUUUAACAGGGGGAUAACACUGAGAAAUUGGUACUAAUACCCCAUAAUAUCAUAGAAGGCAUCUUUUAUGGUUGAAAAUUCCGAUGGUUAGAGAUGGGCAUGCGUUGUAUUAGCUAGUUGGUGGGGUAACGGCUCACCAAGGCAACGAUACAUAGGGGGACUGAGAGGUUAACCCCCCACAUUGGAACUGAGACACGGUCCAA